rnacentral:lncRNA from 1 species
UUUUCAUUAUUUUUACAGAUUUUACAGCCACUGAUGAUCGCCGCCCUCCUACUAGCUUCUCUCUAAGUUGUCUUUCCACAAUUUCAGAUUUCACAGUCGCCGAUAAUUUUCGCCCCUCUACGAGCAUCCCUUCAAAGUUGUCCUGCCACAGAUUUUGUCACCAACGAUGACGUUCCUUCUUCACUUUUGACUUCGAUGACUUUUGUGGCCUUUUCUAUUUGCUCAACUUUCUGUUCAAAUUACAUAAAAUCUAUUAUCUAUGGCUUCCGUGCUGGAAAGGGAAACUAUGGGCUGUCUCCUUGAACACCAUCCAAUAGGUCCUCCACAAAACAUUAAAACGAAGCCAGUAGUGCUUUUCCGAGAUAGUAUGUCGCCGGUAAAAUCAGAAUCACAGUAUCGAAUAAUGCGUUUUAAGUUAACUACAUCCCGACACGACGGAUUGUCCAAUUUUCUGCUACACAUAUUUACCGAAAAAGAUAAGUCUAGUCUGGUCUUGUUUGUAAGAUAUAAUAAACUACCAACAAGCUCUUUGUAUGGGAAUCCUUGAUUCUUCGGGGGUAUUUCAUCUUCUUUGGGAUCGUAUUGCAUCGGUGUUGACACAGGAUUUAAAUUUUGAAAUCCAAAAUUCUCUAAAGUUGCAUCAAUGAAGUUUUCUUGCGAUAAAGAUUUUAUUAUUGUCACAUUUUAUUUGUAUUCCUAAGAACGAAGUAGGAUUGUUACAUGGUACCAUUUCAAAUUCAUGUUUUAAUUCUUCGGGUAAUCUAUUCAUUUCAUCACAAUUUUCACCAACACUAAUCCCAUCAUCAACAUAAAUGGCCAGAAAUAACGUUGAAGUUAUAUUUUUGAAUAUGCAUUUUUCACUUUUGAGUGCAGUAAGCCCUUUCGAUUUGAGUACUUUUGGGAAAUGUUCAUUCCAUUUUAGGGGUGACUGCUUAAGUCCAUAAAGUGAUUUUUGUAACAAACAUACUUCAUUUUUGUUGUUUCUUGUCUUGAAGCCUUCAAGAAUUUCCAUAAAAAUGCAUUGAUCCAAUUUGCCAUAUAGAAAGGCGGUUUUUAUGUCAAAUUUACAAAAAACAAUGAUUCGAAGCUGUCAGCGCAAAAAGUAUUCGUAACGAAGUAAUACUAAUUACUGGACUAAAUGUUUCCUGAUAGUUUAUCCCAUAUUGCUGUUCACAACCUCUUAUAACCAAUCUUGCUUUAAAAAUCCCAUUUUCCUUUAUUCUAAAUACCCAUCUGCUACUUAAUACCUUUUGAUUUUUUGCCUUUUCUUUAUCUACAUACU